UACGGGGGGGGCAAGCGUUGUUCGGAAUUACUGGGCGUAAAGGGCUCGUAGGCGGCCAACUAAGUCAUACGUGAAAUCCCUCGGCUUAACCGGGGAACUGCGUCUGAUACUGGAUGGCUUGAGUUCGGGAGAGGGAUGCGGAAUUCCAGGUGUAGCGGUGAAAUGCGUAGAUAUCUGGAGGAACACCGGUGGCGAAGGCGGCAUCCUGGACCGAUAUUGACGCUGAGGAGCGAAAGCCAGGGGAGCAAACGGG
rnacentral:rRNA from 1 species